ACUCAAAUGAAUUGACGGGGGCCCGCACAAGCAGCGGAGCAUGUGGUUUAAUUCGACGCAACGCGAAGAACCUUACCUGGGCUUGACAUGUCCGUGACAGCUGUGGAAACACAGUCUCCCUUCGGGGCACGGUCACAGGUGGUGCAUGGCUGUCGUCAGCUCGUGUCGUGAGAUGUUGGGUUAAGUCCCGCAACGAGCGCAACCCUCGUCGCAUGUUGCCAGCAUUUAGUUGGGGACUCAUGCGAGACUGCCGGUGACAAACCGGAGGAAGGCGGGGAUGACGUCAAGUCAUCAUGCCCCUUAUGUUCAGGGCUACACACGUGCUACAUUGGCGCAUACAAACGGCUGCGAUACCGCGAGGUGGAGCGAAUCCGAAAAAGUGCGUCUCGGUUCGGAUUGGAGGCUGAAACUCGCCUCCAUGAAGGCGGAGUUGCUAGUAAUCCCGAAUCAGCAACGUCGGGGUGAAUACGUUCCCGGGCCUUGCACACACCGCCCGU
rnacentral:rRNA from 1 species